rnacentral:snRNA from 1 species
GUGCUCCCUUCGGUAGCAAAUAUACUAAAACUGGAACGAUACAGAGAAGAUUAGCAAGACCCCUGCGCAAGGGUGACAGGCAAAAAGUUUCAAUAAAGAAAAAAAAUUCU